UUUUUUUUUUUUGUUUUUUUUUUUUUUUUUUUUUUUCUCGUCCAAGAC
rnacentral:ribozyme from 13 species